ACCAGAGAGAGCAUUUGAGUUCGAGAGCGAGUUUCUGAAAGUUAAGCAUCCAUGAAUUCAAUAAUUUACUACUACUGUUGUGAUUGGAUUUUCCAGAAUCUUCCAUUUUUGUUUUGUGUUUUGGUGUUUUCGGAAAUCGAGGGGAAGAAGAAACUGAAGGUGGAGUUCUUUGUUUUAUGGUUGAUUUUGGAGAUGACGUGGACGGCUCAGAUCUUUUGUUUUAAAAAUGAUGAAUUGAGGCGCGGGGAAUAUAAUUUCAUAAUAUUGGCGCCUUGCAUCGG
rnacentral:lncRNA from 1 species